UACGUAGGGUGCGAGCGUUAAUCGGAAUUACUGGGCGUAAAGAGCGUGUAGGCGGCUUUACAGGUCCGUUGUGAAAACUCGAGGCUCAACCUCGAGACGCCGGUGGAAACCGUAAAGCUAGAGUCCGGAAGAGGAGAGUGGAAUUCCUGGUGUAGCGGUGAAAUGCGCAGAUAUCAGGAAGAACACCCGUGGCGAAGGCGGCUCUCUGGGACGGUACUGACGCUGAGACGCGAAAGCGUGGGGAGCGAACAGG
rnacentral:rRNA from 1 species